rnacentral:rRNA from 1 species
AUUGAACGCUGGCGGCAGGCCUAACACAUGCAAGUCGAGCGGAUGAAGGGAGCUUGCUCCUGGAUUCAGCGGCGGACGGGUGAGUAAUGCCUAGGAAUCUGCCUGGUAGUGGGGGAUAACGUCCGGAAACGGGCGCUAAUACCGCAUACGUCCUGAGGGAGAAAGUGGGGGAUCUUCGGACCCCACGCUAUCAGAUGAGCCUAGGUCGGAUUAGCUAGUUGGUGGGGUAAAGGCCUACCAAGGCGACGAUCCGUAACUGGUCUGAGAGGAUGAUCAGUCACACUGGAACUGAGACACGGUCCAGACUCCUACGGGAGGCAGCAGUGGGGAAUAUUGGACAAUCGGCGAAAGCCUGAUCCAGCCAUGCCGCGUGUGUGAAGAAGGUCUUCGGAUUGUAAAGCACUUUAAGUUGGGAGGAAGGGCAGUAAGUUAAUACCUUGCUGUUUUGACGUUACCAACAGAAUAAGCACCGGCUAACUUCGUG